rnacentral:rRNA from 1 species
UCGAUUCCCUUAGUAGCGGCGAGCGAAACGGGAAGAGCCCAAACCAACAAGCUUGCUUGUUGGGGUUGUAGGACACUCUAUACGGAGUUACAAAGGACGACAUUAGACGAAUCAUCUGGAAAGAUGAAUCAAAGAAGGUAAUAAUCCUGUAGUCGAAAAUGUUGUCUCUCUUGAGUGGAUCCUGAGUACGACGGAGCACGUGAAAUUCCGUCGGAAUCUGGGAGGACCAUCUCCUAAGGCUAAAUACUCUCUAGUGACCGAUAGUGAACCAGUACCGUGAGGGAAAGGUGAAAAGCACCCCGGAAGGGGAGUGAAAUAGAACCUGAAACCGUGUGCUUACAAGUAGUCAGAGCCCGUUAAUGGGUGAUGGCGUGCCUUUUGUAGAAUGAACCGGCGAGUUACGAUUUGAUGCAAGGUUAAGCAGUAAAUGUGGAGCCGUAGCGAAAGCGAGUCUGAAUAGGGCGUUUAGUAUUUGGUCGUAGACCCGAAACCAGGUGAUCUACCCUUGGUCAGGUUGAAGUUCAGGUAACACUGAAUGGAGGACCGAACCGACUUACGUUGAAAAGUGAGCGGAUGAACUGAGGGUAGCGGAGAAAUUCCAAUCGAACCUGGAGAUAGCUGGUUCUCUCCGAAAUAGCUUUAGGGCUAGCCUCAAGUGAUGAUUAUUGGAGGUAGAGCACUGUUUGGACGAGGGGCCCCUCUCGGGUUACCGAAUUCAGACAAACUCCGAAUGCCAAUUAAUUUAACUUGGGAGUCAGAACAUGGGUGAUAAGGUCCGUGUUCGAAAGGGAAACAGCCCAGACCACCAGCUAAGGUCCCAAAAUAUAUGUUAAGUGGAAAAGGAUGUGGCGUUGCCCAGACAACUAGGAUGUUGGCUUAGAAGCAGCCAUCAUUUAAAGAGUGCGUAAUAGCUCACUAGUCGAGUGACACUGCGCCGAAAAUGUACCGGGGCUAAACAUAUUACCGAAGCUGUGGAUUGUCCUUUGGACAAUGGUAGGAGAGCGUUCUAAGGGCGUUGAAGCAUGAUCGUAAGGACAUGUGGAGCGCUUAGAAGUGAGAAUGCCGGUGUGAGUAGCGAAAGACGGGUGAGAAUCCCGUCCACCGAUUGACUAAGGUUUCCAGAGGAAGGCUCGUCCGCUCUGGGUUAGUCGGGUCCUAAGCUGAGGCCGACAGGCGUAGGCGAUGGAUAACAGGUUGAUAUUCCUGUACCACCUAUAAUCGUUUUAAUCGAUGGGGGGACGCAGUAGGAUAGGCGAAGCGUGCGAUUGGAUUGCACGUCUAAGCAGUAAGGCUGAGUAUUAGGCAAAUCCGGUACUCGUUAAGGCUGAGCUGUGAUGGGGAGAAGACAUUGUGUCUUCGAGUCGUUGAUUUCACACUGCCGAGAAAAGCCUCUAGAUAGAAAAUAGGUGCCCGUACCGCAAACCGACACAGGUAGUCAAGAUGAGAAUUCUAAGGUGAGCGAGCGAACUCUCGUUAAGGAACUCGGCAAAAUGACCCCGUAACUUCGGGAGAAGGGGUGCUCUUUAGGGUUAACGCCCAGAAGAGCCGCAGUGAAUAGGCCCAAGCGACUGUUUAUCAAAAACACAGGUCUCUGCUAAACCGUAAGGUGAUGUAUAGGGGCUGACGCCUGCCCGGUGCUGGAAGGUUAAGAGGAGUGGUUAGCUUCUGCGAAGCUACGAAUCGAAGCCCCAGUAAACGGCGGCCGUAACUAUAACGGUCCUAAGGUAGCGAAAUUCCUUGUCGGGUAAGUUCCGACCCGCACGAAAGGCGUAACGAUUUGGGCACUGUCUCAACGAGAGACUCGGUGAAAUCAUAGUACCUGUGAAGAUGCAGGUUACCCGCGACAGGACGGAAAGACCCCGUGGAGCUUUACUGUAGCCUGAUAUUGAAAUUCGGCACAGCUUGUACAGGAUAGGUAGGAGCCUUUGAAACGUGAGCGCUAGCUUACGUGGAGGCGCUGGUGGGAUACUACCCUAGCUGUGUUGG